rnacentral:rRNA from 1 species
GACGAACGCUGGCGGCGUGCUUAACACAUGCAAGUCGAACGGAAAGGCCCUGCUUUUGUGGGGUGCUCGAGUGGCGAACGGGUGAGUAACACGUGAGUAACCUGCCCUUGACUUUGGGAUAACUUCAGGAAACUGUGGCUAAUACCGGAUAGGAGCUCCUGCUGCAUGGUGGGGGUUGGAAAGUUUCGGCGGUUGGGGUUGGACUCGCGGCUUAUCAGCUUGUUGGUGGGGUAGUGGCUUACCAAGGCUUUGACGGGUAGCCGGCCUGAGAGGGUGACCGGCCACAGUGGGACUGAGAUACGGCCCAGACUCCUACGGGAGGCAGCAGUGGGGAAUAUUGCACAAUGGGCGGAAGCCUGAAGCAGCAACGCCGCGUGCUGGAUGACGGCCUUCGGGUUGUAAACCGCUUUCGCCUGUGACGAAGCGUGAGUGACGGUAAUGUGUAAAGAAGCACCGGCUAACUACGUG